rnacentral:rRNA from 1 species
GUCUACGGCCAUGCUGAACACGCCCGAUCCUGCCUGAUUUCGAAAGCUAAGCAGGUUUGGGCCUGGUUAGUACUUGAAUGGGUGACAACCUAGGAAGACCGGGUGCCAUAGGCA